rnacentral:miRNA from 1 species
AUACAAAUCACUUGGGGACCUUGUUAAAUUGCAGACCCCAAUUCCUUGGGUCUGAGAUGGGGCCUGAGACUCUGCCUGUGUAAUAAGUUCCCAAGAGACACUGGC